GGGGCUUCGGCCCUGAGUAGAGUGGCAAACGGGUGAGUAACACGUGGGUGACCUGCCUUCGAGUGGGGGAUAACGUCCCGAAAGGGACGCUAAUACCGCAUGACAUCCUGCCUUUGGAAAGGCGGAGAUCAAAGCUGGGGAUCGCAAGACCUGGCGCUUGAAGAGGGGCCCGCGCCUGAUUAGCUAGUUGGUGGGGUAAUGGCCUACCAAGGCAACGAUCAGUAGCCGGCCUGAGAGGGCGGACGGCCACACUGGGACUGAGACACGGCCCAGACUCCUACGGGAGGCAGCAGUGGGGAAUUGUUCGCAAUGGGCGCAAGCCUGACGACGCAACGCCGCGUGGAGGAUGAAGAUCUUCGGGUCGUAAACUCCUGUCGAGCGGGAAGAACACUUUCCGGGCGAAUAGCCCGGGAAGCUGACGGUACCGCUAAAGGAAGCCCCGGCUAACUCCGUGCCAGCAGCCGCGGUAAUACGGGGGGGGCAAGCGUUGUUCGGAAUUACUGGGCGUAAAGGGCUCGUAGGCGGCCAACUAAGUCGGACGUGAAAUCCCCAGGCUCAACCUGGGAACUGCGUCCGAUACUGGAUGGCUUGAAUCCGGGAGAGGGAUGCAGAAUUCCAGGUGUAGCGGUGAAAUGCGUAGAUAUCUGGAGGAAUACCGGUGGCGAAGGCG
rnacentral:rRNA from 1 species